CAAUAGCGUAUAUUUAAGUUGUUGCAGUUAAAAAGCUCGUAGUUGGAUUUCGGGUGGGACGCAGCGGUCUCGCAUUGCGUUUGUACUGCUGCAGCCCUCCUUCUUGCCGGGGGCGGCCUCUCGGACUUCACUGUCUGGGGGUCAGAAUCGGCGAUGUUACUUUGAGUAAAUUAGAGUGUUCAAAACAAGCUUACGCUCUGAAUAUAAUAGCAUGGGAUAACACGACAGGACUCUGGCCUAUCGUGUUGGUCUAUAGGACCAGAGUAAUGAUUAAGAGGGACAGUCGGGGGCAUUCGUAUUCCGUUGUCAGAGGUGAAAUUCUUGGAUUUACGGAAGACGAACAUCUGCGAAAGCAUUUGCCAAGGAUGUUUUCAUUGA
rnacentral:rRNA from 1 species